rnacentral:rRNA from 1 species
AGAAUCAACGCUGGCGGCGUGCCUAACACAUGCAAGUCGAACGAGAAAGUGGAGCAAUCCAUGAGUAAAGUGGCGCACGGGUGAGUAACACGUGACUAACCUACCCUUGAGUGGGGGAUAACCUCGGGAAACCGGGGCUAAUACCGCAUAAUAUCGAGAGAUCAAAGGAGCAAUUCGCUUAAGGAGGGGUCGCGGCUGAUUAGCUAGUUGGUAGGGUAAUGGCCUACCAAGGCUAUGAUCAGUA